rnacentral:ncRNA from 1 species
GCUAAAUUUUUAAUUUGGUAUCAUUAAGCCGUAACGAGUAGGACGUGCGCGACGGAGAGCGCAGAAGGGUCUGGGCGUGAGCCCGCUUGGAGCCUCCGUCGUCAGAUCUUGUGUAGUACAAUACUCCAGCGGGCCUGGAGGACUGACGUGGAGAAGGUUUCGCGUGACAGUAGUUGCUCGCGGGUCAGUCGAUCCUAAGCU